UACUGUACUGUACCCUGGGUACCCGAGCAAACCCGACCCACCGCCGCCAGCCGGCCCUCCUCUCUCCUCUCACGCGUCGCUUGGUUUUUUCCGCUGGUUUUCCUGGUUAUUUUUCCCAUUUCCUGUUCACCCCCACGUCCAUAGCAACUGCUGUCCCCUGAUUCGGUGAUUCUGUGAUUCCGUCUCAUGCCCUCCCUCAAUUUAUCUGAGGCGAUGGCGGCGGUCGUGGCAAGAUUCGCCAGGUGCUGCAGCUGGUGGCCCGGCGAACGAGAUGCUUUGAGUGGAUCAAGCAUGGCGGCAGCCGGCAGGAGCUAGUUCUACAAUGCUAGAUCCACCCCAGGAGCUCAUCGGUCCUCUCCCUGCUCCGGCCCGGAGCACCUCUAGGUGGCGGCACGAUGUGGACGGCGGGGCCUCCUCCUGGUUGCGGCGCCGUGGGUCUGGUGGCAUCCGGAGCUCCCUAGGUUCCGUGCGUUGUUCCAUGCAGGUCCACUCGUGCGGAUCCGGUGAGGGCAGGUCCGGUAGCUCCCUGCUACGAUCUCCUCAUCAGGCGUUUUUUCAUUGAGUCCGAUGGCGCAUUGCAUUUGAAACUCAUAGUGGACAUCCAUGGUGAUGCACAAGCUGUUGGUUCGAUGGCGAGAGUGGAUGUUAUAGUCUAGUGGACAUGACAAGCAGGUGAGCGCAUCCAGCAUCGCCGUUUCUUCCAGUUGUGUAUGUGCUUUUUUGGUGGGUGAAGUAUUGGUGAAAAGGUUUUGCAUGCUCUGUGUUUGGUUGAAUCUUCCUGUGUUGAGUUAUCUCGCAUGGUCAGUUCAAGAACCAAUGAGUUCCUUUGACAGUAUCAGAUUGAUUAUAAUGUUAAAUUAAAUAUGUAGAUGAUAAUCCCGCAAGUUGUGAAUACUCCAGUUAGCAAGUGGUUAGGGUUUCUCCAAAUGAUAGCAUACCCCCUUUUUAGUACAUGAUUCCAUCUUGUAUGGCCAUCUGUUAGUCAUGUAUCUUUCCUAUUAUACAAAAUUUUCAUUUGACAUGAUAUGACCUCAAGGCAGGGAUACAUACCUCUGUAAUAUACUUGCAGCACAACCUUGCCAAAACAUGAGAUAAUUCCUGAUUAAUAUGAUCUGUAAUUAACUUUUGUUAUUUGAAAUACAUUGCAGUAUUGUACUCUGUUUUGUAUAAAUCCCAUGUCCUUGACAGCUCUGGCAAUGGCAACGGUGAGCAUGGAAUUGUGAUCUUAACGUACUCAAAACACUGUGGGUGCUCUGCUCAUGCUCAUGUAGUUUGAACUGAUUAUAUUCUAUCGAUUUUUCCUUAACUAUCAUUUUUAGUUGACAAUUUAAUAAAAGAGGUCAACUACGAUACCCCCCCUGAUUGAGUUUAGAUCUUCCCAGUAGGAACAAAAAUUGUUCUUGUAUUUUUAUGACUCCUUGCCCCUUCCGACUUCUGAACCAUAUUGUUUUAUAAAUUUUGUUUGUGACUACUACCUCUAAUUAAAUUCACCUUUGACAGUGGGAAUGCUGGUAGGAUAUAGUUAAUUGUUAACCAAUAAAAAAUCUGGUAUGAUAUAACUAUUUGUUAAUGGCAAUGCUGUUUUUUUCUGGUUAUGCUAUACGGAGAAGCUGGAUUAAUUCCCUCAGUAGUUGAGAUUAUAUGGUGCACAGUGCUGAUGAUAAUUCACUUAUCCAUGGGUUCAGGAGAGGUGAUAUCCAUGCACCUGUUCAUGUGUCUUUAGGAUUGCCAAUCAUUUUUUGCAAAUUCCAAAUUUGAUGCACUAAUCAGAAAGAAGGCUAAAGCUUGAUUCCUAAUUGAAGGCACUCAUCAUUUCUUCCCAAUAGUCAUUGUAUGAAUUUCAGGGUCCUCUCAUAUGAAUCCAACCAAAUCCUUCAUUUCUUAGCUUGAAUCAGCUUUAUAAAUAUAGAUUGCUCCCUUGAUAACGUGCACCGUGGCUGGGUGCGCCAAAGCUUGUAUUGUUACCCAGAUGAUGGGAUUCUUGUUUUUAUGACCUGCAAGUGUCAAUUGAGCUGGACCAGGUAUUUUGUUUGAAACCUCUAUUUCUCUGGGUUCGGCUAAUUGAUUAAAACUUAAUGUACAUCUAUUUCAGUAGUAUGACUGAAACUAAUUAGGAUUUAUCAAUUUUGUUGUACAUGUUAAAUCAAAGAUAUACAUCUAAUUGAGCUCAGUUCCAGGGUUUAGUGCUAUAGAGGCACUGAUCAAUCCGAUCCUUAAUGUUUAUGUACAUCCAGCAGUUGUUGCCAUGAGUUUUUCCCCCUGUCAUGAGCAGAAGAAUCUUGUCUACCUCAGUCUUUCUCUGAGCUAUGGAGUAUAUAUACAGCAUAGUACAGCACACCAGGGUGUGGAAAACCAAUGUUAUCUUCUGACUUUAUUCUGAUCUUAUUCUUUUCGGCAGACUGCAACUUCCUGUGUCAUAUAGUGGUGCAGAAAUUCAUUUCUCAUCCAAUUUGCAAUUUCAAUUUUGUUCUUACUACUUAAUUUCCGUCUUCUACAUGCAGAUCAGAGACCGAUCGACAUGCAGUACCUGAUUUCCAUUGGUUCAUUAGUAGCAUGGUGGAUGUACUCAUGGGCGGGUUCAGGUUUCUCGAGCUCAGGUAGGGACAGGACAGCGGCGAGCAGUAGUGCAGGACAGUGAUUUUCAGCUUACUUGGCGGCGGCCGUGGCAGCACGGCCAUGAAACCCAAUUCGUCUGCAGAAAAUUCUUCUAGGGAUGGAAUCUGGUGGCUCUGCUGCACUAAGAUCAGCACCAGCUUGUCCAAGGGAGCACAUCCGCCAUGCCUGUGAUGUGUUUGACAAAAUGCACAGGAGGCAAAGCUGUGAUAUUUUGACAGAAGACUUUGCAGUAUCCUUCCUUCCAGGCAUGAUCUUCCUUUCCCUUAAUGCACAGGAGGCGGUGCUUCUUACUGCCGGUGACUGAUACGAUCAGAUUUGCCAAUCCAAAUUUGGUCCUAGGUGCAGACCUGGUUGGGUUGAUUGCCUUGUAUGAAUUAAUAUAUUUGGAUCAAUGUACUUUGCAAAUAAUUUUAAAUAUUCUGAAGCUUUGAUCUUCUAACGAUUGUGGUUCAUGAUACUAGUUUGCCUGAUCAAUAUGCCUUGUUUUAUCUUACAGGUAACAAUCUAGAGCGAGUGAAUUUUUGCUGAAGAAUUACAAGCACAAGCAGUAUCAUGCGCUGUCAAACUUUGCAGCCAACAGAAGCACUUUCUGCUUUGUGGCAUUGAGGCAACACAAGUGAUCACUAUUGUUGCAAAACUUUAUAAGGGGUUGGUCCUGGCCUCAAAAUAGUGAUAAUACUCUCUGCGAGCCAUUGUCUAUCUUGUAUGAAAGAAUCAGAAGCUUGUUCUCCUCAGGGUGUCUUGCGCGGUGCAGCGUUUGCAAGUGCAAGGCUUGCCGGUUCUUUUUACACGUUACAAUGUUCAUUGCAUGCUCUAAUUGUUCUACAUUUGUAAUUUCUGGGUGAAGUUUGGCUACUGAUCCAUAGUUUGAUUAGCUGACAUAUAGUAUUUUGCAAACAUGGUCUGUUUUGAAGGGCUAAAUUUGCAAUUCUUGCUAUUCUGUUUAAAA